CGGGAAGUAGCUCAGCUUGGUAGAGCACAUGGUUUGGGUCCAUGGGGUCGCAGGUUCGAAUCCUGUCUUCCCGA
rnacentral:tRNA from 1 species